rnacentral:rRNA from 1 species
GAUGAACGCUGGCGGCGUGCCUAAUACAUGCAAGUCGAGCGAACAGACGAGGAGCUUGCUCCUCUGACGUUAGCGGCGGACGGGUGAGUAACACGUGGAUAACCUACCUAUAAGACUGGGAUAACUUCGGGAAACCGGAGCUAAUACCGGAUAAUAUAUUGAACCGCAUGGUUCAAUAGUGAAAGACGGUUUUGCUGUCACUUAUAGAUGGAUCCGCGCCGCAUUAGCUAGUUGGUAAGGUAACGGCUUACCAAGGCAACGAUGCGUAGCCGACCUGAGAGGGUGAUCGGCCACACUGGAACUGAGACACGGACCAGACGCCUACGGGAGGCAGCAGUAGGGAAUCUUCCGCAAUGGGCGAGAGCCUGACGGAGCAACGCCGCGUGAGUGAUGAAGGUCUUCGGAUCGUAAAACUCUGUUAUUAGGGAAGAACAAAUGUGUAAGUAACUAUGCACGUCUUGACGGUACCUAAUCAGAAAGCCACGGCUAACUACGUG